UACGGGGGGGGCAAGCGUUGUUCGGAAUUACUGGGCGUAAAGGGCGCGUAGGCGGUGCUCUAAGUCGGAUGUGAAAACUCUGGGCUCAACCCAGAGCCUGCAUCCGAAACUGGAGUGCUAGAGUUCUGGAGGGGGUAGCGGAAUUCCUGGUGUAGCGGUGAAAUGCGUAGAUAUCUGGAGGAACACCGGUGGCGAAGGCGACAUCCUGGACCGGUAUUGACGCUGAGGCGCGAAAGCCAGGGGAGCAAACGGG
rnacentral:rRNA from 1 species